CCUACGGGAGGCAGCAGUGAGGAAUAUUGGACAAUGGGCGGGAGCCUGAUCCAGCCAUGCCGCGUGCAGGAAGACUGCCCUAUGGGUUGUAAACUGCUUUUAUACAGGAAGAAUAAGCCUUACGUGUAAGGUGAUGACGGUACUGUAAGAAUAAGGACCGGCUAACUCCGUGCCAGCAGCCGCGGUAAUACGGAGGGUCCGAGCGUUAUCCGGAAUUAUUGGGUUUAAAGGGUCCGUAGGCGGAUGAUUAAGUCAGGGGUGAAAGUUUGCAGCUCAACUGUAAAAUUGCCUUUGAUACUGGUUAUCUUGAGUUGUAUUGAAGUAGGCGGAAUAUGUAGUGUAGCGGUGAAAUGCAUAGAUAUUACAUAGAACACCAAUUGCGAAGGCAGCUUACUAAGUACUAACUGACGCUGAUGGACGAAAGCGUGGGUAGCGAACAGGAUUAGAUACCCUGGUAGUCCACGCCGUAAACGAUGGAUACUAGCUGUUCGGGGCCUUGAGUUCUGAGCGGCUAAGCGAAAGUGAUAAGUAUCCCACCUGGGGAGUACGUUCGCAAGAAUGAAACUCAAAGGAAUUGACGGA
rnacentral:rRNA from 1 species